UGGGGAGUGAACUAAUGGAAGGAAGACCUCUCUCUGUCUCUACCUCUCUCUGUAACUCUGUCUUUCAAUUACAUAAAAUAGAUCUUUAAAUAAAUAAAUAAAUAAAUAAAUAACUUAUUUGCCAUUGCUUCUCAGCCUUUUGGCCAAGAUCAAGUGUGUUUAUUUAUUUAUUUGACAGAGACAGCAAGAUAGUUUCCAUCCACUGGUUCACUUUCCAAAUGCCCACAGCAGCUAAAGUUCAAAGCUGGCAACUCCAUCCAGAUCUCCCACGUGGGUGGCUGGGACCCAAUUAGUUGAGCCAUCGCAUGCUGCCUCCCAGGGUGUGCAUCAGCAGGAAGCUGGAGUUAGGAGCCCGAGCCAGAAACCAGAUCCAGGCCCUUGGAUGUGGGACGUGGGUGUCUUAACUGCUAGGCCAAAUGCCUGCCCUGUCAUGAGUUGUUUCUUAAGGAAACCUUCAGAAGGAUUUGCAGGGAUUUUCCAUGAAUGCCAGGGCCGUAAAAGGGGCUGUGGAAUGUUUGUGGGAUGGCGAGAAGCCCACGUUGCUGCCAUACUCGCCCUCUCGGAAGGGGCAGCCGUCAGAAGCCGCCGGGAAGAGCCGCGGGACUCUUGCCUAAUCCCCCAGGCUUGGAGCAAGGCUGGGCAGCCCGUUGCAAGCCCAGCGUUGCGGUGACCUCCCUGGCUGCUCGUGUGUCCUUUGUGACGCGGCCCCGCAGCCCGAUAAAUGGCUCAGGGACCUAAGUUCACGUCCUUGGAGUGGCAGACGGCCAGGGGCCGAGCCUGCCUAGAGGGGGGCUUUGGGUGUCUGGGAGUUAGCCUUGAUUGGCAGGAAGCCCAAGGAACAAAUCAACAAGUCCCCGUCACAGGCGGGACCAGCGUUCCCUUCGGAGCUCAGCUUGUGGUACCACCAGGGCCAGCGAAUCAGAAUGUAUCUGGAGCUGGGCCUUUGCGAGCUGUUUCGGGUUAGAUGAGGGCACCGCCGUGGGACUGGUGACUACAAGAAGAGGAAGUGAGACCUGGGCAGACGCCCGGCUGCUCUGUCUUCGCAUAGGAUGACGCAGCACCAAGGCCACCACCAGAUGGUGUUGGAGCCACAGAAACCAGGCUGAGCCAAGCCAACCCUCUUCCUCUCCAGCUGUCCAGCUGACAAACUCCCCCUCAUCCCCAAGGAGCCAAGCUGAGUGUUGCCUCUGAGAUGCGCCUGCCCCUGAGCUCCAGCAGCAACGUGGCACUCACCAAGCUGGGCAAGGAGCCACGGCUUCUAUCGUCCCUGCUGGUGAGAAGCCCGAGACCUGAGGAGGUUUGAUCUCAGAGCAAGGUCACAGGCGAGGGGAUCCACGGCCGUUCUUCUUUGUCUCACACCAGAAGAGUGAGGACGCUGCCCGGCUGUGCCUCCAUGUGGGGCGGGGGCGGGGCUGCUCCCCGAGUGUGUGUGGCAUGAGCAGGCCUACUCAGCGUGUGGCCCACACACCGGCACCUGCCUACGAACUGCUGGUUAGCAGUCUGCGAUGAGAAUCCCACACUCCUCGUUCAGGAGCGGGAGAAGCUGCGGAUCCGGUGACUGCCCCCAGCCAAUCAGGUGAGUCAGUCACGCAGUGGCAAGUGUGUGAGGUGACCUCCCACUGCCCUAUGCAACCCGAAAGCAUGACAGUGGCCUUGGCUCACUCCUGCCUUCCAAACCUUGCACUUAUUUCUCUGGUGGCCAGCUCUAACCCAGGACCCUAUGGGACAUUGGCAUUCUGGU